GUCUCAGGCCGUAUCAGCCUGAAGGCGCCCGAUCUCGUCUGAUCUCGGAAGAAUGAAGGGAUGGAGCCAAAGCAAACACAAUACCCAGUUGUGGAUGUGACUGGUGAUAGAAGCA
rnacentral:rRNA from 1 species